rnacentral:rRNA from 1 species
UACGGAGGAUCCAAGCGUUAUCCGGAAUCAUUGGGUUUAAAGGGUCCGUAGGCGGUUUGGUAAGUCAGUGGUGAAAGCCCAUCGCUCAACGGUGGAACGGCCAUUGAUACUGCCAGACUUGAAUUAUUAGGAAGUAACUAGAAUAUGUAGUGUAGCGGUGAAAUGCUUAGAGAUUACAUGGAAUACCAAUUGCGAAGGCAGGUUACUACUAAUGGAUUGGACGCUGAUGGACGAAAGCGUGGGUAGCGAACAGG